AUGAUUGGGCCCUUACAACCCUAAAACAGAGGUCAAAGUGCCUAAUGGGGUGGGCCCCAGGGUGCACACACAAUGGAACCCAGAAAUUCAGCUGAUGGGAUGUGACAAAACAAUAGCAAAAUGAAUUUUGGACAAUUGAGGUGGGAAUAAGGUUCAACUGCAGAAUUGGCAAUUGCAGCAGACCCAAUGGCAAUGGGCCCUUUCGUUAUUCAGGCUGAAAUGAGUGCAACAGGAAUUUCAUAACUGCUGUAUCUGAACAGAAGAGUUACAGGCAUUGAGUGGAACAUAAAUUGUUGGGGCCAAUAUAUCCAGAAAAACAGAAAAUAAAUACCAAGCAGGUUAUACUCGUUUAUUUUCUUGUGAAGCUGGGGUGAAAAUCAAUCGGAAGAACGCUACGCAACAGGGUGGGAAGUGUGCUUCUGGGCUGCUCUCCCAGGCCACUUGGUACAGAGCAGAACACACAAGCUUUGUCAAGCAUAUGUUACAGCCGAAUGAAGUGGUUCAGGCCAGAAAUCGGUGACCUGUCGGCUGAACGAGAUGAGGAAAGAUCAGUGAAGCGACAUACUGGAAUCCCUGGCCAGUGACAACCAGUUGCUAUGGAAGAUGCCGAAACGGGUGAUGCGAGUUCCUACUCCUUCGCCACCCUUUCAGGUGUCGGGAGGACUUGCUCUCUGGUUCCGUGUAAGCGGAAGCCUUGAGGUUCGGUUUCAGCUGGUGGACGACCCGUCGGACCCGGUAGUUACUGACAUGGUUAAUGAGGCGUUGCGCUCAUACUAGGAAGUCCCCGCAAAUAAACCGAAAUUAAAAAGUCCCUCUGAGGUCCUUCAGGCCAUCGAGGGACUCAGGGUUGACAAGGCUCCUGGCCGAAACAGGGUCCUGAAACAUCUAACUAAACGAGCGAUGACGUUUCUCACGAAAGUGUUUAACGCAGUCCUGUGUAGGCAGUACUUCCCAGCAGCACGGAACCACGUCUGCGCUUGCGUAUGACUCUUCCUUAAGCUUUUUUUUUUGUUGGUUGGUUCAGGCCAGACUAGUAAUGGCUAAACGGUAAAACGUGAUAACACUGAUCUGUUCUGAUAUAAAACUCUACAAUCGCUGCCAAGUUGGAACUGAAAGUUAAGGUAGAAGGCUGUCCCCACCCAGCUAUUGUGAUUCGUUGUUCUGUGUCCCAGCGAAGGUCAAACUUCAUACAAAGAGACGGUGUAGUGUAACAUCGUAUUUUACAUGCGCUCACGCAGAUUGGCAGAAUGAUUUUCUUGAUGUGAGUAAAACUUGACAUACCGCGCAGACUUACUUGUAAUGAGAAUAGAAAUACGAAGAAUGUUGUAAGACUAGUUCAGUGGCUUGAAAAUCAGUUGCGAGUGGCAACUUAGGAAAUGGGCGUCGGUCCAGGGCUUCGCGCCCAUAGCGACCUCAAGUGCCUCACACCUGUAUUCGUAGGUAUCGGAAUUGCUUUUUCUCCGUUUAAAUUGCUGUAGUUUGAGGAAACUUUUGUCUGAGUCCGACAACAAUGACAAAGGAAUUUAAAAAGUUUUCGAUAAAGGCCUAUGGAAAGUAAACGACAAUUUUAGCGCCUCCCACAAACAGCCAAUCUGCUAUAAAAUGACAUACGAAUUCCAUAGGCCACUUGUUGCUGACCGACACCGAAAAUUCACGUUUCUCUUCAUGUUCACCUGAACGACUUCGUAAAUAAUAAGAGCCUGUGCCCUUACGGUUAGCAACUUCAGAGAUUACAUGGCAAGCGGUAUGACAAACGUCCACAUAUGCUUAACAAUGGAUGGCAGACUAUUUAAAAACAGAAGCGUAAAAAGUUUUCAACGUGCACCCACUCUUGUCUACUGUACUGUUAUUAAAUUAAUGAAAACUGCAAUCCAAUUUAAGUAGUUCAUACUACAACCACUAUCGCUAAUCACUAAAAUGCCUGACACAGGUUUUAAACGUUUCUUCUUUAAUGAUUCAUUUUCUGUGAAACUGACUGUUGAGAGAAUAACUUAGUUCCAGAUUGACGGCCUUGACUUGGUCUCUGUAGUUCUUACAUACACAACAUUGAAAUUGUGGGUGUAUAUAUCCGCCUGUAGCUCGAGAACGGAUCCUCAAAUGUGGCAUGCAUAUUUACUGAAACCAGAAAGAGAUUUUGAACAGGUCUUAACAACGAAAAAGUAUCCUGAACUCUAAUCCUGGUGAGGGUGGUUUCUGUAGCCGCAAAACUAAGGACGAGCCAUGACCCAAUCUGUUUGCUUCGACAACAGCAUUUCUGGAAUAACGGAUACAACCCUGAAAAACUGUCCCUAGGUUCAAGUCCCCUGAAGACCUUUUAGGGAUAAUUUUUCAUAUAACUUUCGAAUGAUUAUGCCUAAGAAAAGUUUUCGGGGAAGAAAAAUUGACAAGAAAUGCAAAUGUGGAAUUUCCCCGAAGUAACACUGCUGCCACUCUGCUAGUCUUACAAAAAAAAAUUGUUUAUACACUGGUGUAAUCUCGAACGCAAAUUCCCCGUUACUCGCUGUGUAACUUCGCAGGUAUAGCUACAUUGUCAUCUCCAAUGUUCUGCAAUCAAUGCACAGUCAUCGGUGGUGGAGCUAGAGGGGAUUUUCUGCUGCCCACAAUUUGAACAUUUAAAUCUUUGUGUACGAUUCGACGUACGGUUCGGUCGAAUAUCCUUGAAGCAUCUACUCUUACCGUGUUCAAUAUUGUAUGGAGUUCUGAAGGUAACCGUUUUACCUGGACUUUUUUUUACCCAGAACCAAGACGGUUUCGUCAAUGGCCCUAGGACCAUCACCGAUGUGAGAAGAAACUGCAGCAAUGCCGGUGGAGAUGCACGGCGCGUAACGGGAAAUUUGCAUUCCAGAGUACAAUGUAUACAGAAGAAAAGAAGUCAUUCUAGUGACAAAGUUUUUAAAAGUGUGUAUAAAAUGCUUUCUAUUGUACUUCAUCUUGUUUCAAAAGACAAGUUUCAGUUUAAAACCAUUACGAAAAAAGAACGCUGACAUGUCAACACAACACAAGAAUUACGGAUUGUCGCCAUAGUGUUCGUGAUGGUCAAGCGCCCUCAAAUGAUGGCGCCAACGCACGAAUACAGUGUUAUGUACACAGAUAAUACCAACGCGGUUUACGCACAGAAGAGAUCCAGUUAGACGCAUUACAAAUGAUCUCACCAGUUAAAUCGAAGGAAGUACGAUAAUAAGUAAUGAUAACAUAUGAAUAUGGACGGUGGUGAAGUGAUGUUGAUGGGAAAAUGGACUUGGAGAGAUACCUGUUCCAUUGCCACUUUGUUUACCAUGAAUCCCACAUGGACUGCACUGAGCGCACACUUGGGCCUCUACAGUGAGAAGAUGGUGACUGCUUCAGCUGUUGCAUGGCCAAAAGAGUUUUUUUAGGCCUGUUGUUAUGUAUUUCAUUGCAGAGAAUAAUUAUUGAAGCAACUGUUCAGUGGUGGAGAGUGCAUCCAUCUGCAUCGGCUAUGAGCCCUCAGAGCAAAUUGUGCCCCGAGAGGGUAGCUGGUGCAAGAGAAUAAAGCAUGUUUACAUCAGUGAAGUUAUUGUCACCCGCAAUUGAAGUAUAUGCUUUGGUUGCGUAUACACAACAGGCAGUAUCUUGUUAUUGGAGAAUUAUUUCACUCUGUAGCACGUCAUUUUCGGAUGGGAGUCCAGUGCAAUUUCCCAGAUCAUUAAAAAUACUUGUGUAACAAUCUGGAAUGUCCACCGGCUGCAGAACUUCCCGACACAGAUUAUCGAAGGUCUCGUUCGUUAUGAUUGUCACUGAAGCUUGCUCAUUGCUGUCAUUUAAUGAGACCUCAUCCUAGAAGAAUCGUUCAUGGCCCAAGACGAGUUUGCACUGCCCUUUAAAUGCUGUGCAUUGCAGAGUCCGUUUUUGAUCGUUGUACAUCUCACCGUUAUUUGCCGUCCGUGAGCGAAGAAGUAUGGGACCACACAGGGUCUAUAGUGGCCCAGAUGCUGUCGGGAGUUUGGUGCACAGGCUAAAGUGUUUUUCAUGUGUGUCAUGUGGUUGUUUUGCUGACUUCCUGCAAAACCAGUCCCUGAAUCUGUCUCUCUUUGCUGACACAUUCACUGACAUUUUGUUGAUUAUGAAAUGGGCUUCACACGCACAUAAAGAAAAUCCACUCAGCUGGCGGACACCUGAGGUCCAAGUUGCGGAUCCUCGGUUGAGAAACGGUGGCCCACACAACCUGCAUUAUACAGAUACGAGGUAUUACUCUGAAACAACUGUUUGUGCUGCCAAAUUAUUCAGGUCAUUUUCAUUUAGAGAGGAGCAGCCUUGUCUUUUAAUUUCAACAUGCUUUAAAAGUAACGUCUUCUCUGCAUAAAUUUUGAACAUGCCUUAAUCAUAGUUUUCCUACAAAGAAACUUUAAGUUAAAAUAUGUAAUUCAGACAUCAUGUCCCGCACUGUAGCCGCGCGGUCGGAGGCAUCAUGCUCCGGACCGGCGAUACGGAAUGUGUGUUGGUU